UACAGAGGGUGCGAGCGUUAAUCGGAAUUACUGGGCGUAAAGCGUGCGUAGACGGUUAUGUAAGUCAGGUGUGAAAGCCCCGGGCUCAACCUGGGAAUGGCGAUGGAUACUGGCUCGCUAGAGUGCGGUAGAGGAGAGUGGAAUUCCCGGUGUAGCAGUGAAAUGCGUAGAGAUCGGGAGGAACAUCAGUUGCGAAGGCGGCUCUCUGGACCAGCACUGACACUGAGGCACGAAAGCGUGGGGAGCAAACAGG
rnacentral:rRNA from 1 species